GACAGAGGAUGCAAGCGUUAUCCGGAAUGAUUGGGCGUAAAGCGUCUGCAGGUGGCAGUUCAAGUCUGCUGUCAAAGACCGGGGCUUAACUUCGGAAAGGCAGUGGAAACUGAACAGCUAGAGUAUGGUAGGGGCAGAGGGAAUUCCUGGUGUAGCGGUGAAAUGCGUAGAGAUCAGGAAGAACAUCGGUGGCGAAGGCGCUCUGCUGGACCAUAACUGACACUCAGGGACGAAAGCUAGGGGAGCGAAUGGG
rnacentral:rRNA from 1 species